AAUAGAUUUAUGCCACAUCAGUACUCUUAUCCUGAAUUUCAGUAUUUUAAUUUGGAUUUGAUUUUUUCAGGAUAAAAUCCUGAAAUUCAGGAUAAGAGUACUGAUGUGGCAUAAAACUAUU
rnacentral:pre_miRNA from 1 species